UUGUAGUUCAGGCUUCACCU
rnacentral:siRNA from 1 species